rnacentral:rRNA from 1 species
UACAGAGGUCUCAAGCGUUGUUCGGAUUCAUUGGGCGUAAAGGGUGCGUAGGUGGCGCCGUAAGUCGGGUGUGAAAUUUCGGAGCUUAACUCCGAAACUGCAUUCGAUACUGCGGUGCUUGAGGACUGGAGAGGAGACUGGAAUUCAUGGUGUAGCAGUGAAAUGCGUAGAGAUCAUGAGGAAGACCAGUGGCGAAGGCGGGUCUCUGGACAGUUCCUGACGCUGAUGCACGAAGGUCAGGGGAGCAAACGGG